UACAGAGGGGGCGAGCGUUGUUCGGAAUUACUGGGCGUAAAGGGCGCGUAGGCGGCCUUCUAAGUCGAACGUGAAAUCCCCGGGCUCAACCCGGGAACUGCGUCCGAUACUGGGAGGCUUGAAUCCGGGAGAGGGAUGUGGAAUUCCAGGUGUAGCGGUGAAAUGCGUAGAUAUCUGGAGGAACACCGGUGGCGAAGGCGGUUCUCUGGGCCUGUACUGACGCUGAGGAGCGAAAGCGUGGGGAGCGAACAGG
rnacentral:rRNA from 1 species